CAUUUUUAUUAUUAGAAUCUACUAUUUGCCAGGUACUCUGAGGCACCAGGAAUAUACAAAUAACAAGUGCAGAAACUGACCAGUCUAGUUGGACAGGCAGACGCAUAAAUCAGCAAUCACAAGGCAGUGUGACUAAUAGAGGAGGUAUGGCAGCACAGAGAGAAGUGAGCAGUUACUCAGCCUGCCUUGUAGGCAGGGCACUCAGAGAAGCUUCUCAGAGGUGGUGACAUGAGAGAGAGCUGAGCCAGUGAUACAGAAGCAUGUAGCAAGAGUGGGGGUACACUGGCCUGGCAGUGUGAGGCAGCUUUCCCAGGUCCUGGAAUGGGGGUGGAUUGCAUGCUGGGGCCGGGCGUGGAGCACGUAGAGACAAACACUGGAGAGAUAGCCCUGAUAGUGGAGAGAAGACCCUUUUGACAAGUGGGCAUCCUCCCAAUGCAGUGGGGAAAGCGCUGGCAGUUUUAGCAGAAGAAUGAAUUGAAUUCUGGACAGAUCACUUCGGUGAACCAUGGUGGACCCACUGAGGCAGGAGACUGAGGGAGGUGAAACCAGGGCUCUCUGUGCAGCCUUACAGUAUGUUCCUGUAUAGCCAGUCUUGCCAGGGUCCUUGGGUCCUGGCCCUGGUGUGACAGCUGCCCACAGUACCUAUACAUCCCCAACAGACUUCAGGAUUGCACACGGUAACGCCCUGUCUAUCUGCCCCUACUCCUUCCUGCUGCGAUUCCAGCUCAUGGACUCUCACUCUGGCUCUCCUCACUGGUCUCCAUUCUCACCCUUGCAACAGGCUCACUCUUGCUAAAGCCUUAGCUCCCAACCCCAGCUCACCCUGACCACAGCAAGCCCAUCCCUUCUCCCUCGGUCUCCCCACCCCACCUCAUCGGACUCCCAGCUGCCUGGCUGAGACUUGCCCUGUCUCAUGUUCCCAUGGAUGACUCACGUAUCGGGUGGGGGUGAGGCCACGCUGGGGCUGCCGAAGCAUGGGGAGAGUUGGUGGCAACAGCCCUUCCCUGGCCUCACAGGCCCAACUGAGCAAAGGUUUUCCAUCUCAUGCAUGUCUGCUGGCACUAUCAGAGCCUGUUUGUGCCCCCAAAGAGGUCUUGACCCUACUCUGAGGUCUAGCCAAGCCUUCCCGGGGUAAGGGCCUUUGCUCCUUCUUGGAAAUUCAAAGUCAUGAAAACCAGAGCAGUGAGAACACCCGUGAACCCAGGAAGCAGGAUGGCCCCUCCUCCAUCAGAGAGGCAAAGACUCCCCAAAGAGGUCACGGAUCUUUUUUAAAACCUGGUCUUAGCCGGGCACGGUGGCUAUUUAGAAGCUGCUGUUAUAUAGGAUGGCAACCCUC
rnacentral:lncRNA from 10 species